rnacentral:rRNA from 1 species
CCCUUAGAUGUUCUGGGCCGCACGCGCGCUACACUGAUGCAUUCAACGAGUCUAAAACCUGCUCUGAUAGGGGUGGGUAAUCUUUUGAAUGUGCAUCGUGAUUGGGAUAGAUGAUUGCAAUUUUUCAUCUUCAACGAGGAAUGCCUAGUAAACGCAAGUCAUCAGCUUGCAUUGAUUACGUCCCUGCCCUUUGUACACACCGCCCGUCGCUCCUACCGAUUGAAUGAUCCGAUGAGUAUCAUGGAUUGAGGAUGCAAGUAGGUUCGCCUAUCUUCAUCUUCGAGAAGUGAAGUAAAUCUUAUCAUUUAGAGGAAGGAGAAGUCGUAACA